ensembl:lncRNA
CGCUCGAGGCAGGCAAGGUCUCAGGAGGGUAAGGAGUUCCCUUUAUUUAUGGAACAAAGAGUGUGAAGGAAUUGACUAACCUGUGAAGUGCCGCUCAGACGCCCCUCCGAGAAUGGAGGUCUGGGCAGCUGUGUGCCCGCCUGCAGUGACUGACAGACAGGAGGGCUGCCUCAGGCCAACUGAGGACAGUGCUGAAGGGUCUUCUCCACGCAGAGCUACCCGCUGGGCCUCUGUCCUCUCACCCAACCUGCUGCCCUGCCUCUCCUCUCACAAGAGCGGCUCCUGAGAGCAACUCGAGUGAACUUCCGGCCCGCGCGUCUCCCCUGGAGUCAGCUUCCUGGGGAACGCAACCUGCCACAGGUGUGCCCCUUUCACUCCGCACAACAGCUCUGGGAAGAGUGGAAGAUGAGGAGGAGGAUCUCUGUCUAACAGUUUUAAUCCUGCCACUGCUGCUGCUGCUGCUGCUUAAGUCGCUUCAGUCGUGUCCGACUCUGUGCAACCCCACAGACGGCAGCCCACCAGGCUCCCCCGUCCCUGGGAUUCUCCAGGCAAGAACACUGGAGUGGGUUGCCAUUUCCUUCUCCAAUGCAUGAAAGUGAAAAGUGAAAGUGAAGUCGCUCAGUCGUGUCCGACUCUUAGCGACCCCAUGGACUGCAGCCCACCAGGCUCCUCCAUCCAUGGGAUUUUCCAGGAGAGUACUGGAGUGGGGUGCCAUUGCCUUCUCCGAUCCUGCCACUAAUGUGCAAUAAUUAGAAUCAUAGGAGCUCAGAGGGAACUAGUAUUUAACCUAAUUUCGUAGAUGCAAACUAUUAUAUAUAAGAUGGGUAAACAACAAGGCCUUACUGUAUACCACAAGGAACCAUGUUCAGUAUCCUAUGAUAAACCAUAAU